rnacentral:tRNA from 1 species
GCUAAUUUGGCCAAGUGGUAAGGCGUCGCACUUGUAAUGCGAAGAGCACUCGUUCGAUUCGGGUAAUUAGCA